rnacentral:rRNA from 1 species
ACGAACGCUGGCGGCGUGCUUCACACAUGCAAGUCGAACGGAAAGGCCCUGCUUUUGUGGGGUGCUCGAGUGGCGAACGGGUGAGUAACACGUGAGUAACCUGCCCUUGACUUUGGGAUAACUUCAGGAAACUGGGGCUAAUACCGGAUAGGAGCUCCUGCUGCAUGGUGGGGGUUGGAAAGUUUCGGCGGUUGGGGAUGGACUCGCGGCUUAUCAGCUUGUUGGUGGGGUAGUGGCUUACCAAGGCUUUGACGGGUAGCCGGCCUGAGAGGGUGACCGGUCACAUUGGGACUGAGAUACGGCCCAGACUCCUACGGGAGGCAGCAGUGGGGAAUAUUGCACAAUGGGCGGAAGCCUGAUGCAGCAACGCCGCGUGCGGGAUGACGGCCUUCGGGUUGUAAACCGCUUUCGCCUGUGACGAAGCGUGAGUGACGGUAAUGGGUAAAGAAGCACCGGCUAACUACGUG